AUUACAUUGACAAAAUGUAAUCAUCAAUGUGCUUUGAUUUUCAUGAGGACUUUUCGGAAGAAAAACAUUAAUGGCCACAAACAAGGACACCUCAGACAAGCCUAAACCUUCAUCAGUAUUCUAUUGUCAAAUAAAUACAUGGUAUUCAAUCUAUGUGCCCAGCAUAUUCAUCUCCCAUGUCUGACUCCAUGACUGGCGACUGAAGGUCCACUGGCGGCACAUGAGGAUUGUAAAUUCCUUCCCGGUUAGCCGUAAGUGAGGUAAUAUAUAUUUUCCCGCCAUGCUUUGCAGAGAGAGCUAACAAACUGGUGAUUUAUGUUGAUUACAGGACUAAAUUACUCCCCCUUUGCCGCGACACACAUGCAGUAUAUAGCCUAUCAUACACGACCCUAACAUCUUAUUGGAUGAGAGAACAAUUCCCAAGUCGGCUCUUUCUGACAGUGGGGCUACUCUACUGCACUCUCCGCUGCUGUCUCUCUAUCUGACCGUGGCAUAGCCAGCUAUGUUGAGGACCGGCAAUUAUCGGAACAUGUUUCAAGGGGAAGGCACGGGGCUGCGUGGCGGGAGUCUGGCUGGCGCGCGGGAAAGGAAGCGUUUUGCCCUGUGCAUCAACCAGGAGGAGGAGAAGAGGUACCAUCGCUUCUGCAACCAUGGUGGAGGACAACAAAUGCUUAAGAUGGAGAGACAUGUUUACCUGAGGAGUGAGGAAGCGGAUGACAACAGUCCUCGUUGCCUUGAGCAGCAACGCUACUGGGAGACCAAGGCCAUUGUAAUUCAGCGGGCCUGGCGGGCCACCCUGUACCGCAAAGUGAGCUGGCAGGGGGACUGUGAGAACCUUAUGCAUCAUCAGCUUGGGACGGAGUCACUGGAGCCCUACCAGACAGCCGUGAUGGAUGAGUUUGGCCAGGACCUCUCUCUGGUAAGACCGAGAGCUUCUGGUUGUAUGAAUGAGCAAGGUCGGUUGAGCUAUCUCUGCAAACUAUCUUGUUGGGCCAGCAGAGUUUAGUGGCAAAAGUUCUAAUGGAGAAUAAAAACAGAUGGAUGGAUGAUUGAAGAGGAAUUGUAUUUACCUCUCAGAAAGCUAACGGAUGAGGGCCUCAGCUGUUGGUGGCAUGAGGAAAAGGAGGGUGGAUGGAUGGAGGGAGGGGUGGGAGGGAUGGAGGGAAUAAGGGAGGUGUGUGUACGUCUGGGGCACGGCGGGGGUGGUGGUGGCGGCGUAGGAUGUGAGGAGUGUUGGCGAGGUGCCCAGAUCCUUAGACGUUCAUUUGCAAAGUUGGUUGAUUGAUUAAUGAAGUGCCUCUGCUCUUGUCCUCACCCCGUUUCACCCCUGGAGAGGGUGGAGGGGAAUUAAACAGUGCUCACAGGGUGUGGCAGGGAAAUAAAAGGCAGGGAGGAAAAAUGACAUCAUGGUCUGCAGAUCAACAGAGGACGGGAACGAAGCAAAAAGGCUUUAGAAAAGGGUCGGCAGAGAUGGAGGGAUUGUCAUGGAAACCAAAAAAAAAAAGCCCAAAUAGAGUGAAGGGUUAAGAGAAGGAUUACGAAGGUGAAAUAUGGACAAGGGGAAAGAGGGAGCCACACGUUAGAUAUAGAUUGGACAUACUGUACAGAUGGACAGAAAUGACCUCAAUCAACAGAGAGGGGAACCUUUCAUGGCGAAAGUUAUUGAGAGUUUGUUAGCCUGAAACUUAAGUCUCUUUCUGCUGGGCUAGCACAGUGGCGUUGUCGUCAUUUGUCCUGUUAUUUCUGCUUGGCUAGAGAUGGUACACAACAAUAAUUAGUCUGCAACUGUUCACACACGUACACACACGUGUCCGUGUGUGGGUGUGUGUCUGUAUCUGAAUGUGUGUAGAGGUGUGUGUGUGUGUGUGUGUGUUUGUGUGUGUGUUUGUGCGUGUUUGUUUGUGUAUAAGUGUGUGUGUGUGUGUUUGUGCGUGUGUGUGUGUGUUUGUGUGUGUGUUUGUGCGUGUUUGUUUGUGUAUAAGUGUGUGUGUGUGUGUGUUUGUGCGU
rnacentral:lncRNA from 13 species